GACGAAGGAUGCAAGCGUUAUCCGGAUUCAUUGGGUUUAAAGGGAGCGUAGGCGGACUUGUAAGUCAGUGGUGAAAUCUUUGGGCUUAACCCAGAAACUGCCAUUGAUACUGCAAGUCUAGAGUACAGUUGCCGUUGGCGGAAUAUGACAUGUAGUGGUGAAAUACUUAGAUAUGUCAUAGAACACCGAUUGCGAAGGCAGCUAACGAAGCUGUAACUGACGCUGAGGCUCGAAAGUGCGGGGAUCAAACAGG
rnacentral:rRNA from 1 species